UGCAUGUCUAAGUACAAGCCACUUGUUGGUGAAACCGCGAACGGCUCAUUAUAACAGCUAUAAUUUACUUGAUUUUGAUAUCCUACUUGGAUACCUGAGGCAAUUCUUGAGCUAAUACAUGCACCAAAGCUCCGAUUCACGACGAGCGCAUUUAUUAGAUCAAAACCAAUCGGGCUCGCCCGGGUUUUGGUGACUCUGAAUAACUGUGCUGAUCGCAUGGUCUUGUACCGGCGACGGUUCUUUCAAGUUUCUGCCUUAUCAACUUUCGAUGGUAGUUUAUGUGACUACCAUGGUGACCACGGGUAACGGAGGAUAAGGGUUUGACUCCGGAGAGGGAGCCUGAGAAAUGGCUACCACAUCCAAGGAAGGCAGCAGGCGCGCAAAUUAUCCACUCUCGGCACGAGGAGAUAGUGACGAAAAAUAACGAGGAUGUCUUCUUUGAGGCCAUCUAUCGGAAUGAGUACAAUUCAAAUCCUUUAACGAGGAUCUAUGAGAGGGCAAGUCUGGUGCCAGCAGCCGCGGUAAUUCCAGCUCUCAAAGUGUAUAUCGUUAUUGCUGCGGUUAAAAAGCUCGUAGUUGGAUCUGAGCUUCUGGAGCGGGUCCGUAUUCUGUACGUGUACUUGUCUUCUAAGCUAUUUAUGUUGGAUUGUGUCUGUUGGCUUCACGGUUAGCAGGCGCGUCUAACAAGUUUACUUUGAAAAAAUUAGAGUGCUCAAAACAGGCGUUAGCUUGAAUAUUUCUGCAUGGAAUAAUAGAAAAGGACCGACGUUCUAUUUCGUUGGUUUUCUGAAUGGCGGUAAUGGUUAAGAGGAAUAGACGGGGGCAUUCGUAUUGCUACGUGAGAGGGGA
rnacentral:rRNA from 1 species